AUGCUUUACACAUGCAAGUCGAACGGCAGCAUAGAGAGCUUGCUCUCUGAUGGCGAGUGGCGAACGGGUGAGUAAUAUAUCGGAACGUGCCUAGUAAUGGGGAAUAACUAGCUGAAAGGUUAGCUAAUGCCGCAUACGACCUACGGGUGAAAGCAGGGGAUCUUCGGACCUUGCGUUAUUAGAGCGGCCGAUAUCUGAUUAGCUUGUUGGUGGGGUAAUGGCCUACCAAGGCGACGAUCAGUAGCUGGUCUGAGAGGACGAUCAGCCACACUGGAACUGAGACACGGUCCAGACUCCUACGGGAGGCAGCAGUGGGGAAUUUUGGACAAUGGGGGCAACCCUGAUCCAGCCAUUCCGCGUGAGUGAAGAAGGCCUUCGGGUUGUAAAGCUCUUUCGCAAGAGAAGAAAACUUGCUAUCUAAUAAAUAGUAAGCAUGACGGUAUCUUGACAAGAAGCACCGG
rnacentral:rRNA from 1 species